rnacentral:rRNA from 1 species
GACGAACGCUGGCUGCGUGCUUAACACAUGCAAGUCGAACGCUGAAGCCGGGUGCUUGCACCCGGUGGAUGAGUGGCGAACGGGUGAGUAACACGUGAGUAACCUGCCCCUGAUUUCGGGAUAAGCCCGGGAAACUGGGUCUAAUACCGGAUAUGACCAAUCCUUGCAUGAGGGUUGGUGGAAAGUUUUUUCGAUCAGGGAUGGGCUCGCGGCCUAUCAGCUUGUUGGUGGGGUAAUGGCCUACCAAGGCGACGACGGGUAGCCGGCCUGAGAGGGCGACCGGCCACACUGGGACUGAGACACGGCCCAGACUCCUACGGGAGGCAGCAGUGGGGAAUAUUGCACAAUGGGGGAAACCCUGAUGCAGCGACGCAGCGUGCGGGAUGACGGCCUUCGGGUUGUAAACCGCUUUCAGCAGGGAAGAAGCGCAAGUGACGGUACCUGCAGAAGAAGUACCGGCUAACUACGUGCCAGCCGCCGCAGUAA